GACAGAGGAUGCAAGCGUUAUCCGGAAUGAUUGGGCGUAAAGCGUCUGUAGGUGGCUUUUUAAGUCCGCCGUCAAAUCCCAGGGCUCAACCCUGGACAGGCGGUGGAAACUACCAAGCUGGAGUACGGUAGGGGCAGAGGGAAUUUCCGGUGGAGCGGUGAAUGCGUAGAUAUGCGGAGGAACACCGAUGGCGAAGGCAAUCCCCUGGGCCUGCACUGACGCUCAUGCACGAAAG
rnacentral:rRNA from 1 species